rnacentral:tRNA from 1 species
GAGUUGGUAGCUCCGUGAUAGAGUGCAUGCUUUGUAUGUAUGAUGUCCUGGGUUCAAACCCCAGCUUCUCCA